AGAGAAGACAAAACAACCCAAAGAAAAGAAGUAUGGAAGGCAGGGGUAGCAAGGCGGAGCUGUGCCCUGUCACGGCACGCAGAGAAUGCCCAUGGAUUUUCACAAAUGCUGUUAAAAUGUGAAAAGCAGGUGUUUCUUUUUUCUUCAAUCUGAGCUUCAAGCUAAUAUGGGCAUUCAGCUAAAUCCCUCCUGGGUCCUGAAACAGUAUGUGGUUUUGGAUUUCAAAGGUAAUUAUUGCUGAAUUCAUUGUAUGGCCAGUGCACCUGCCAGGUAGACAUUAUAAAAGAGCAUGCAGGGGGCCACCAAGAGAAUUUGGAGGACAAUUUCUCCAUCACAAAACCCCUUUGAAAGCCUAUUAAGGCAUCAAGUGCCAGGAAUGGAGUUGAACAUAUUCAUAAUACAGUUAGCAAUGCAAAUGAAGCAACAGUUCCAGGUCGGAGAAAAUGCCGAUGCUUACCUGAGAAAUUCGGGCUCCAUUGUAUUGUGUCUGUCCUGCAAUUGACUCACAAUAAUCCCUACAACUUCUGGGAGAGGUGCAAGUAUCAACCAGUUGGAGACACAGGGAAAGGGUGAUAUAAUGCAGAAAGUGACUUGAACAAAUUUACACAGAAGGCAGUGAAGUGUGAUUCAAAUUCAAGCAGUCUAGACUGUGCCCCACACAACUCUGCAGCAUAACCUUGCAGUAUGAAAAUAAUGCCUCUCAUGCAGAUCAGGGAUAUGAGAUCCAGUGACUUACCCAAAGUUUCAAAGGAAAGAUGUAACAGAGCCAUCUCUGAACUUCUGCUCUUGGGAAUCUACACACUCUUUCCACUAGUUCUGACCUUAGCAGGUGUUUGACCCA
rnacentral:lncRNA from 1 species